rnacentral:rRNA from 1 species
AUACGUAGGUGGCGAGCGUUGUCCGGAAUUACUGGGUGUAAAGGGCGUGUAGGCGGGAAGAUAAGUCAGAUGUGAAAUUCCAUGGCUCAACUGUGGCGCUGCAUCUGAAACUAUUUUUCUUGAGUGCUGGAGAGGAAAGCGGAAUUCCUAGUGUAGCGGUGAAAUGCGUAGAUAUUAGGAGGAACACCAGUGGCGAAGGCGGCUUUCUGGACAGUAACUGACGCUGAGGCGCGAAAGCGUGGGGAGCAAACAGGAUUAGAUACCCUGGUAGUCCACGCUGUAAACGAUGGAUACUAGGUGUAGGAGGUAUCGACCCCUUCUGUGCCGGAGUUAACACAAUAAGUAUCCCACCUGGGGAGUACGGCCGCAAGGUUGA